ACAAAAGUGACGAGAUGAAAAGUUUUCCCGAUCAGCCAAAGUGCGGAGAAAUUACACGUGAAAGAGGAGUUCGGAAACAGGAAAACAGAGACAAGACAGGUGGGCAAGAUAGUUUGAUAGCAAACUUUGUAUCAUGUUCUCAAUCAGGACAAGUGUAAUGUUUCUUCAAGUCGGCAAGAUAUUUGAAUAGUUGAGUAAGGUGAAAACUCAAUAGUUUAGUGGAAAGUCUAGAUAGCUUAAUAAGGUGCUACCUAAACCGCCCACCAAGUUAUAUGAAUUUUUCAUAAAUCUUACUAAAUUAUUUAAACUUUUCAUUGAGCUAUAUGUGUUCUCCAUGUACUUUAGUGAGUUAUCAGACCUUUUUACCGAGCUAUUUAAGUUCUCCAUGCACUCUACGGGGUUAUCUGAAUUUUUUAUCGAGCUAUUCAGAUGACUUCCUAACCUGAAACAUAAUACAAGUAUUUUACUGACCUUACCAAAGUGGUAUAUGACACACGUUGGACAUUAAGCUAUCUUGUCAACCUGGAGACAAAUAGUUUGUCACAUUAAAAAAAAAUUAAAUAGAAUAAAGUUUGAAAGAAUAACAAAAUGUUUAGGGAUAAAAACACCAUUAAUCCUCUAAAAAUUCAAAAGAUGUAACUACUUUUUUAACCCUUCUUUGUUCAACAUUAGAGUGGCGAAGAAUAUUUGAAUGUUGAAACGCAAUAAAGUGAGAGUGUGGUUGUAGGUGCACGCCCUUGUCCCCCUAGUGCCCUGUACUUCCCAGGAUACAGACAUAUGCUCAUGCCAAUGCUACACAAAUUCAAGAUUCAUGGAGAAAAUAGCUCCCUUUUCUCGUAGGAUUCUCUUCUUAACCUACCACUAUUCGUGUAAGGGACCCCUACCCACACUCGUUUAUAAAGAACUAUCUUCUAUCAAUAUACAUCACCACUUUUAUUUCUUUA